rnacentral:rRNA from 1 species
CCUACGGGCGGCAGCAGUGGGGAAUAUUGGACAAUGGGGGGAACCCUGAUCCAGCCAUGCCGCGUGUGUGAAGAAGGCCCUCGGGUUGUAAAGCACUUUCAGUGAGGAAGAACGCCUGGUGGUUAAUACCCAUCAGGAAAGACAUCACUCACAGAAGAAGCACCGGCUAACUCCGUGCCAGCAGCCGCGGUAAUACGGAGGGUGCGAGCGUUAAUCGGAAUUACUGGGCGUAAAGCGCGCGUAGGUGGCUUGACAAGCCGGUUGUGAAAGCCCCGGGCUCAACCUGGGAACGGCAUCCGGAACUGUCAAGCUAGAGUGCAGGAGAGGAAGGUAGAAUUCCCGGUGUAGCGGUGAAAUGCGUAGAGAUCGGGAGGAAUACCAGUGGCGAAGGCGGCCUUCUGGACUGACACUGACACUGAGGUGCGAAAGCGUGGGUAGCAAACAGGAUUAGAUACCCUUGUAGUC